rnacentral:lncRNA from 1 species
CUCCAUCUCUUAUGUGGUCGACUCUAACCCUGUUUUUCUGCAUCUUUAGGUUAGAUUUGCACAUUAAACAUAUAAAAGAAGUAACAACAUUGCAAAUCAUUUCUUUCUCCUUAGAAUGCUUGGCACAUUAAAGUUUAAGCUCAUUAAGCAUGUAAAUGACAGAGUUAAGCUUCAAUUAAAAGAACUUGACUCUAAGGUAUAUUAAACUCUAAAUUAGUUCUUUCCUCAAGUUCUUCCAAUAUAAUUUGUUUUAGAUGUGUUCUUGAAGGUUCAUUUAAAUGUAUCAAGCAAAGCGUAUCAAGGAUGUAUCAAAUCUUUCUUCCUUACUCACUUAUGUAUUAGAUCAAUUGAAUUGAAAGCAUUAGUACUUUCAUUUGACCUCAAUGGCUUUGUAAACAUCAAAAUCACACUAGGAUCCUCAAUCUUCCCCUUUUUGAUGAUUACAAAACGUUGAGUAUAAGCAAAUUGAUAUUCAUGUGAGAAGUAAGGUUUAAUGUAUAGAAAAUGCUUUUGGUGUAAAAAUUUCAAAUAGUCCAAUUUAGAGAAUGUAUCAAUGAACUAAAAGCUCCCCCUAUCUUAUCCAAGUAGAAUGCCUAAUGAAUUUUAGCUUUGCUCCCUCUUAAAGCAAGAGUUUCAAGCUAUAUAUCGAGGCAAGAAAAAUCUUUAUGAUUAUGUGCCAGAUUUAGAUUUUCUCUUUGUCAAAUGUCUCCCCCUUAAGUGUAUAAUACAUAUCUCCCCCU